rnacentral:rRNA from 1 species
GACGAACGCUGGCGGCGUGCUUAACACAUGCAAGUCGAACGGUGAAGCGCUUGCCUUUUUGGUGGGUGUGGAUGAGUGGCGAACGGGUGAGUAACACGUGAGUAACCUGCCCUCUUCUUCUGGAUAACCUCAUGAAAGUGGGGCUAAUACGGGGUAUUCCGGGUCUGUCGCAUGGCGGGUUUGGGAAAGAUUGCGCCUUUGGGUGUUUUCGGUGGGGGAUGGGCUCGCGGCCUAUCAGCUUGUUGGUGGGGUGAUGGCCUACCAAGGCGGUGACGGGUAGCCGGCCUGAGAGGGUGGACGGCCACACUGGGACUGAGACACGGCCCAGACUCCUGCGGGAGGCAGCAGUGGGGAAUAUUGCACAAUGGGCGCAAGCCUGAUGCAGCGACGCUGCGUGAGGGAUGGAGGCCUUCGGGUUGUGAACCUCUUUCGCCAGUGAAGCAGGCCUGCUCCUGUGUGGGUGGGUUGACGGUAGCUGGAUAAGAAGCGCCGGCUAACUACGUG